CGAAAGAUGGUGAACUAUUCCUGGUCAGGAUGAAGCCAGAGGAAACUCUGGUGGAGGUCCGCAGCAAUUCUGACGUGCAAAUCGAUUGUCAGAGCUGGGUAUAGGGGCGAAAGACUAAUCGAACCAUCUAGUAGCUGGUUCCCUCCGAAGUUUCCCUCAGGAAAGCUGGUGCUCACUGAAUGAAUUUCAUCCGGUAAAGCGAAUGAUUAGAGGAGUUGUGUACUAACGUAACGCAACCUAUUCUCAAACUUUAAAUGGGUGAGAUGCCAAGCUUGCUUUAACGAGUGAAGCUUGGCGAAAAAUCAGAGUACCAAGUGGGCCAAUUUU
rnacentral:rRNA from 1 species